rnacentral:lncRNA from 1 species
GGGGAAUCAGAUCCAUGGUAUUCUCCUUGGAUGGCAAUUUCAUCCUAGUUAACGGUGAAAAUGAUUGUGCCCUGGUGUGUCUGAAGUGGAAGGAGAUAAAGGAAACUGAAGUUGAGGAAGCUGCUCUUUACUGGCAAUCUCUGCUUGAAAUACUGAACAAGUCUACUUCAGAUGAAAAUUCUGUUUUAAAAUCUAUGGCAGAAUGGAAGUUUGACCCAGAAUCCACAUCAAAAUCACUUCCAGUGACAGAAGAAGAUGGAAACGUCACAAAUACCGAUGACAUGACAUGGAUAGGCCAGAAAACACAGAAGGUUAUGAGAGAAGAGACUCUGAGAUUUGCUAACCAGAAGGAAGAGGUGCAAAUGGGAAUUAAAAAGCUGCAGGAAACUGUGAGUUUCUUCUAAGGGUAAUAGCUCAGCUUCCCAGUUUUGUUUACAAGAACACUUCCUUUAUGGCUGUGAG